rnacentral:misc_RNA from 1 species
GAUGAAGAACGUAGCGAAAUGCGAUAAGUAAUGUGAAUUGCAGAAUUCAGUGAAUCAUCGAAUCUUUGAACGCACAUUGCGCCCGCCAGUAUUCUGGCGGGCAUGCCUGUUCGAGCGUCAUCUCAACCAUCAAGCCCCCGGCUUGUGUUGGGGACCUGCGGCUGCCGCAGGCCCUGAAAACCAGUGGCGGGCUCGCUAGUCACUCCGAGCGUAGUAAUACAUCUCGCUCAGGGCGUGCUGCGGGUUCCGGCCGUUAAAAAAGCCUUAUUUACCCAAGGUUGACCUCGGAUCAGGUAGGAAGACCCGCUGAACUUAAGCAUAUCAAUGAGCGGAGGA